CGCUCUGAUGGUCUAAUGGUUAGAGCGUCCGCCUCAAAUGAGGGAGGUCUUGGGUUUGAACCCCAGCUGAGUCA